CUGAAAAACAACCAAAACACAUGAUUAGUAAUACAGAAAUGACUUAAUGUUGAAAUGUUACGCUAUGUAAAAACAUUACAUCUCUGAUUACAUCUAAAAACUCAAUGAAAAGCUGUUAUUUUGAAACAAUCUGUCGGGCAUAGGCAGAAGGUGUGGCGUCAUCUUGUGGCGUCGAAAUACUAGGGCUCGUUCGUUGCCUUGUUGUUGUGGAGCUUAUUUACACUUGGUUACAAAUAGUUUAAACCUCUCAGUAAAAGUUAAGUCUAGGCUACGUUAAAUAUCAGUGGGUGAGAUUUGGACCUGUAGCCUCAACAUGGUUCACUGUUUUGUACCGUGUUGUAAUCAUAAUUCUGGUGGUGUACACGGCUGUAAGUUUUACAGGUUUCCCAACGACAAGACGACGAGGCGAAGAUGGGCCCGUGUCAUAGGGUAAGACGGUGUGAUCGAGCGCCCGCUGACACGUCCAGACUUUGCAGUUGUCAUUUCCCAGAAGGGAAAGAAAGAGGUCCUCUUUGUUUCCUGAACAAAGAUGGGACCAUUUGUACUGACCAUAAAAUACCCAGAUACCGUCCGCCCCGCCCUGUUAAGAAGGAUGUUUGUGCUAUAGAACCAAUCUCACCCGAUGAUAUUCCUCUUGUGGAAUCAGUGUAUGGUGUGGAACGAUUCUUAACCAGUGAUAGUACUCCUGAAGACUCAAUAUGUGAAGUGGAAUCUUUCAUAACCAAUUAUAUCCCUCCUGUAGAGUCAGUUGAUGUUGUAUCACCAGUCUUAACCAAGAUUUGUCCCAGUGUUGCCACUUAAACAUAUAGUCGUGUAAGUUAUGAGCGUAUGGAGAAGAUAUUUCUGGAAGUGGAGCUGAAAGAUGUCAAGGAAGAGCUGAGGCUUCUGAAGCAGAGGCUGGCAUACUCUCAGAGCCGGUACACUGCCUCUCGAUUGAGCAAUGAAGUGGUUAAGAUGGAGACAGGCCUCCCGGAUAAAGACUGUUUUAAUAAAAUUGUUGAAUGUGCCACUAGCUUGGAGGACUCUGUCACCUACCGUGCUGGUUGGAAAGUUCAAAGGCUUAGCACUGAAGAUCAGGUGUUUCUUACUUUCAUGAAAUUAAAACACAAUUAUAAGGACUUUCACCUCGCUGCAAUAUUCAAUUGCAGCAUCUCUAUCAUCAGAAAUGCGGUCCUCACAUGGACUGACAUUCUGCAGGGCCUGCUUCAGGACGACUACACAACUGCACCGAGAGGUUCAAAAGCUCAGAAGAAACAGAAAACUCAUCCACUUAACACUAACUUAUAAAAAGAAUCAACACGCAAUUACAUUUUUUUUACUUCUAAGAACAAAAUAGAAAAAAAUCCCAUGCUGAUAUAGUAAAUUGUAUGUUAAAUUAUUUUGUAUUUCACCAUAAUAUAGACAUUGCUCAAAUUAACUAGGGUGGUCAUUUGAUCACAAAACAACACUGUCACAUUUCACUUUGUGUAAUUAAAAUACAAAAUAAAUGGUAAGAUUCUG